rnacentral:lncRNA from 1 species
UUUUGUAACAACAUUUAACAUUGUUGGGAGUUUUUGCUUUUGAGGCCUUUGAAUUUUAUCUUGGCUUCUUUCUUCUUGUAUUAAGGGUUGUAUGUAAAACCCUAAAUACUUAAAUUUAUAUAUAUUAAACUUUACACGAAAAUCUAAGGUGCCACCACCGACAAAAUCUUUAAUAAAUAAAAAAUAUUAAAUUUAUAUAUAUUAAACUUUACACGAAAAUCUAAGGUGCCACCACCGACAAAAUCUUUAAUAAAUAAAAAAUUUAACAAACACGCAGCAAAAAUAUUAACGUCAU